GAUCAUGGCUCAGGAUGAACGCUGGCGGCGUGCUUAACACAUGCAAGUCGAACGAAGCACUCUAUUUGAUUUUCUUCGGAAAUGAAGAUUUUGUGACUGAGUGGCGGACGGGUGAGUAACGCGUGGGUAACCUGCCUCAUACAGGGGGAUAACAGUUGGAAACGACUGCUAAUACCGCAUAAGCGCACGGUAUCGCAUGGUACAGUGUGAAAAACUCCGGUGGUAUGAGAUGGACCCGCGUCUGAUUAGCUAGUUGGUGGGGUAACGGCCUACCAAGGCGACGAUCAGUAGCCGACCUGAGAGGGUGACCGGCCACAUUGGGACUGAGACACGGCCCAAACUCCUACGGGAGGCAGCAGUGGGGAAUAUUGCACAAUGGGGGAAACCCUGAUGCAGCGACGCCGCGUGAACGAAGAAGUAUUUCGGUAUGUAAAGUUCUAUCAGCAGGGAAGAUAAUGACGGUACCUGACUAAGAAGCACCGGCUAAAUACGUG
rnacentral:rRNA from 1 species